CGCCAUCUUUGUUGUGGGCUGCGGUCGUGUCCCCGUGGGCAGCACAGGGACGAGGCAGGCGCUGACGGCGCCGGCCUGUGGCUGCUGUGUCCCUCUGGCAUAUUGUCGUGGAAGGCAGUUUGGGAGGACUGUGGGGAAGACACACGAGGCUAACGUGUAAAGCUCAAGUGAUGUAUUGCUCAGACACGGAGAUCCCCUCCCAGAACCAGAUCACCCAGGAAGAUCUUCCUGGCUUGCUCUGCUGCUUAUACAGCACAUGUGUGGAGAGCAAAAACCCAAGAGCAAGAGCCUUGUGCUAUCUGCACCUCACCUCUUUGAUCCAAGCUGCUCAUUUGCAUCAGCACUGUCACCAGACAAAGGCUGGGACAAGUAACCAUCACUUCUCUGCUGGAACAUACCCACACAUGCCCAAAACAUGCCCAGCCUUGACCCUGCAUGGAGUCUGUGCCUGGCAGGACGUGGUUUGGGGGAAAGACCCAUGUGCAAUCCACCCAUCCACAGCUUUCAGAGGGGGAGGUAUCUCUCCUCUGGCUCCCUUCAUCCCAGCCUCGCUGUUUGCCCUGCAUCCCGUCCUUGUGGGGGGCAGGGAGGGGGUUUGGCUGUACUGCCACACGUAGAAAGGCCCAGCAGAAUGCACUGACAUUUUAAUGGGGUUUAUGCUCCAACUGACUUCCAACUGCUGUGUGGAAGACUUGCAGCUAACAGAGCCUCUGCAGCAAAGGGUGCUUGAGUGACAUGAAAGCAGCUCUGACUUUCGCU